GGGCCAAUGAAAAGAACUCAAAUGGUCUCAAAGGAAAAGAAGACCUGAAAAUCAUGCUCAGUAGGAUUACACAGAGCCC
ensembl:snoRNA SNORD115 Small nucleolar RNA SNORD115